CUUUUUCUCUUUUAUACCCGUUUGAUGGUGACAGAAAUUGAAAACUUUACUACAGCCUAAGAUUACUGAAUACUGAACACAAACAAACAUACAUACGUAUUCUCAAAACACAAAAGCUAACAUUAUUUUGCAGGAAGACAGGUCUCCAGAUAGCGCUGGCUAACCCAGCUCUCCCCACCCUGCCUAUUGCAGCUCUCAGAAUAAUUGUAGAAUAAGUCAAUAAUGAAAUGUCCUGAGAUAAAGAGGAAAUGUCUGGAACAUUCCAGGCUAUGUCCUUUUUCUUCCUAGAACAGGAUGUCCUACAAUGCUUGUGCUCCGUGCAAGGUUGUGCCAAGGUUAUAAAACCCAGGGCAGAGUGCCUCUAGUGUCCUCCAGCUACAAUGUGAAGUGGGGCAUUCGCAGACAAGACACUUCUCACCCCGGGCAGCCUUCCUGAGACUUGGGGGACAAGCUUGCCAUGGACUUUAGGUUUCUAUUUAUUCUUGCUGUCUAUCUCAGGAAGAAGAGGGUCCAAUGAUGCCCAAUGAGAGAAUGACUAAGAGCCAGCCUUGCUCCUCUCGAGGGAAGAGUGAAGUGAUAUUAAUCAGCGCACUAUUGUGCACAAAGAGUGUUCUCUCAGGAGAAGAGCAGCACAUCUGUCCCACUCACACAUCAAAGAGGCCCAGCAGCUGAAAAUGCUUGUGUCAAAUCUCCACUCAGCCUCUUUUUCUCCUUGCUUUCCUUUCCUGGUUCAUUUGCUAUUCUGUGGGCUGUUUAGCAGUAAACCCUUCAUCUGAUUAACAUUUCAAACCCAUUGUUGGUCUGUGCUGGCUUAAAUGAACUAAUCAUCAUUAGUACUUCAAAACCUGUCUGGCUAUGCCUGCAAGGGGGAAAAAAAGGAGGAAGAGAAGAAAAGGAAAAGGAAACAAGCCUGACUCAUUAAAUAAGUCAUCCAUAAGUAGCUGGCCAAGAUUGAAACAAAAGCAGAAUCCUGAGUAUUUUAAUCACUAAGCAAGUCAUGGACAUGACUCAGAGCUAAAAGGCAUAAAUGGGACCUUAGGCGAUGACGGAACAGAGGCAUCUUCCUCUGGAAGAGGAGGGAAGGAAGCCUGGGGCCCCAUCCAUUUCCUUUGCUCUGAUUCCCUUUCCCCUGGAAAAUACCAGUUUACGAAGCAAAACUUGUUGCAGAAGCCAUUUAUUUUCUAUUCUUUCUGCUUUAUCCAUUUUGACAGAAUUAUAUUCCUGAAAGUAGUUGAGGUCGGUCAUCUUUCUGAUUUUCAGUGAUAUCGCCAUACUUUUAACCCAUGAUCUGCAUCAUAUUAUAUAUAAUGUGUUUAAACCUAUUACCUUAUUGGACCAGGUAAACCAUUAGCUUGGCUUAACCUAAAAUUACAAGAGGAGCUUUUUUCCCCUAAAUCAGACUCUCCUAGGAAGCCUAUCCAUUGUUUAUUUUACUUCAUACUAAAGUUUUCG
rnacentral:lncRNA from 10 species